rnacentral:tRNA from 1 species
GGAGGGGUGGGUGAGCGGCUAAAACCGCCGGUCUGUAAAAUCGGUGCCCUGACGGGCUACGCAGGUUCGAAUCCUGCCCCCUCCA